ACGGAGGGGGCUAGCGUUGUUCGGAAUUACUGGGCGUAAAGCGCGCGUAGGCGGAUUGGAAAGUUGGAGGUGAAAUCCCAGGGCUCAACCUUGGAACUGCCUUCAAAACUUCCAGUCUGGAGUUCGAGAGAGGUGAGUGGAAUUCCGAGUGUAGAGGUGAAAUUCGUAGAUAUUCGGAGGAACACCAGUGGCGAAGGCGGCUCACUGGCUCGAUACUGACGCUGAGGUGCGAAAGCGUGGGGAGCAAACAGG
rnacentral:rRNA from 1 species